rnacentral:rRNA from 1 species
CGCACCUUGCACCCUUUGGUAUUCCGAAGGGUACGCCCGUUUGAGUGUCAUUGUAAUCUCACUUCCACACCUUUAUUGUUGUUGGAAUGUGGACUUGGAUGUUGCGGUGUUACAGCCGCUCGUCUCAAAUGCUUGAGUGUACCCUGCUUUGCAGCGUAUCGGGUGUGAUAAACAUUUCACCAGAGUUGGUCGCAAGACCGCGCUUUUGCUUAGUAUCAAGGCUCUAUGCUUCGAACCGUCUCUCACGAGACAAUCUCUGACAAUUUGACCUCAAAUCGGGUGGGACUACCCGCUGAACUUAA